GACGAACGCUGGCGGCGGGCUUAACACAUGCAAGUCGAACGGAAAGGCCUGCUUUCCCUUGUGUAUUGCGGGUACUCGAGUGGCGAACGGGUGAGUAACACGUGAGUGAUCUUUCCCCAACUUUGAUAUAAGCCUGGGAAACUUGGUCUAAUUCCCGAUAGUACUGCAGGGUGGUGCCUGUGGUGGAACACGAUUUUCUAGUAGAUGCGGAUUAGCUGACGGCCUAUGAGCUAGUUGGUGGGGUAAAGGCCUACCAAGGCGACGACCGGUAGCUGGUCUGAGAGGAUGAUCAGCCACACUGGAACUGAGACACGGUCCAGACUCCUACGGGAGGCAGCAGUGGGGAAUAUUGGACAAUGGGCGCAAGCCUGAUCCAGCCAUACCGCGUGGGUGAAGAAGGCCUUCGGGUUGUGAAGCCCUUUUGUUGGGAAAGAAAAGCAGCAGGUUAAUACCCCGCUGUUCUGACGGUACCCAAAGAAUAAGCACCGGCUAACUUCGUG
rnacentral:rRNA from 1 species